UCUAUGUAUAUAAAAUAGUAAUUGUAUAAGUAAAUAAAGUAUUUUUUAUUUUAGUAAAGAUAUUGAAAAAAUUAUAUUAGGGAUAAAGAAUUAGUAUUGUGAGAGAAAGUUUAUUAUUGGAAAUGAAGAAAAAAUAAAUUUUUGUACCUUGGGUAUCAGGGUUUAUUAAAAAGGUAUUAAAAUUUUAAUUUUCUCGAAUUUGAAAGAGCUAUUUAUUUAGAACUUUUAUUGUAGCAUUAAUAUUGUAAAUAUAUAGAUAGGGGUGAAACGUUAUUCGAUUUCAAAUAUAUCUAGUUUUUUAAGAAAGAAAUUUAAUUUUUUUUUAUUUUAGUAUAUUUUUUACUUUUUAGUAAUGUAUUAGAUAGAGGGAAUAGCUUAGGGGUUGAGCUUUAGGCUAAAUUUAUAUAAUAAAUUGGUUUAUUAGGUAGAAUAUAUAGGGUUUGGAGUUUCUAUUUAAAGUGAUUUAUAUCUUGGUUUUGAAAUAGUAUUAAGAUUUAUUAAAUUUAUUUAUGUUUUUUAUUGAAAUUUAGGCUUAAAUUAAGAUUGUUUAGAAAAAAUGAUAAAAUUAGUAUAAUAUUUAUUAUUUGUUUAAGUUAUUUAAAGGUUUAGUUAAGGAACUCGGCAAAUAUAUUUUCCACCUGUUUAUUAAAAACAUGUCCUUUUGAUAAUAAUUUAAGGUCUAACCUGCCCAAUGAUUAAUUUUAAAUGGCCGCGGUAUACUGACCGUGCAAAGGUAGCAUAAUCAUUAGUUUUUUAAUUGAAAGCUUGUAUGAAAGGUUGAAUGAGAAGGUUUCUGUCUCAAUUAAAAUUUUUUAGAAUUUUAUUAUUUUGUAAGAAGGCUAAAAUAGAUGUAAAAGACGAGAAGACCCUAUAGAGUUUUAUAAUUUGGGUAGAAAGAGUAAUAAGAAUCUUUUUCUUUAUUUAUUUGAAUUAUUUGGUUGGGGUGAUUGAAUAAUUAAAUAAACUUUUUUUGUUUAUAUAUCACUGAUAUGUGAAUAACUGAUCCUUUAUAAAGAUUAUAAGAAAAAAUUACCUUAGGGAUAACAGCGUUAUUUUUCUAGAGAGUUCUUAUCGAAAGAAGAGUUUGCGACCUCGAUGUUGGAUUAAAAUUAAGGUUUGGUGUAGAGGCUAAACUAUUAGGUCUGUUCGACCUUUAAAAUUUUACAUGAUCUGAGUUUAAACCGGCGUGAGCCAGGUUGGUUUCUAUCUUUACAAGGAUAAUAUUUUUUAGUACGAAAGGACCAAAAAUUUCCUAAAUUAGGUUGAAUUUUGAAUAUUAUU
rnacentral:rRNA from 1 species